rnacentral:rRNA from 1 species
CUACGGGAUGCUCCAGUAGGGAAUAUUGGACAAUGGGCGAAAGCCUGAUCCAGCAACGCCGCGUGUGCGAUGACGGCCUUCGGGUUGUAAAGCACUUUUAGAGGAGAUGAGAAAGGACAGUAUCCUCAGAAUAAGCCUCGGCGAACUACGUGCCAGCAGCCGCGGUAAAACGUAGGAGGCAAGCGUUAUCCGGAUUUAUUGGGCGUAAAGCGCGUGCAGGCGGUCUAGCAAGUUGGAUGUGAAAGCUCCCGGCUUAACCGGGAGAGGUCGUUCAAUUCUGUUAGACUAGAGAAUGGGAGAGGGAGGUGGAAUUCUGGGUGUAGUGGUGAAAUGCGUAGAUAUCCAGAGGAACACCAGUGGCGAAAGCGGCCUCCUGGACCAUUUCUGACGCUAAGACGCGAAAGCUAGGGUAGCAAACGGGAUUAGAUACCCUCGUAGUC